CAACUGGUUCCAUUCCAUUGACAACAGCAACUCCUCAGGUUCUUCAUUCUUGUUGGUCUGCAAAGUGUUUUUUGAAGGUCCAACUGGUAUGAAUUCCUGUUAAAAAACAACAUGAAGUUCUUCAAGCUUCGAGGUGGUACUAUACUAGGAGGAUUUGUCUACUCCAUAACUAACGUCAAUAAUAAUAAUAUCACUAAAGCUAGUCCGGCGGUUCCAUGCAGAUUGGAAACAGACCAGACCUGAGUGAGACCUCAUCACUUCAUUAUAGGCAAAAUUGUUGGAUGAUGUAUCCGACGUGGCUGUCUUCUUUUUGUGGGUUCGGUUUCAGCUCUCUCUCAUACUCCUAUACUAAUCAACUCAUAUGCAUAUGAGUUGAUGCACAAAGUCAUUGGCUCACAUACCACCGAAGCUGUUCACCUAAUGGUUUAGAUUCGAUUUUUGGAGGACGGUUAUUUGAGCUCAUCUUCAGUUUCGGUAGCUGGUACAAUGAUGCACUUUGUAGUCGGUCGAGAACAUUCUUUGUAUCUAUAUCCUCCAAAAGACUCUCAUGGCAUGCCUCUUUCAAGUCGUCAAUAUCAUAUUUAUCAGCUGCUCG